UAAUUGAAGAGUUUGAUCAUGGCUCAGAUUGAACGCUGGCGGCAGGCCUAACACAUGCAAGUCGAGCGGUAACAGGAGAAAGCUUGCUUUCUUGCUGACGAGCGGCGGACGGGUGAGUAAUGUAUGGGGAUCUGCCCGAUAGAGGGGGAUAACUACUGGAAACGGUGGCUAAUACCGCAUAAUGUCUACGGACCAAAGCAGGGGCUCUUCGGACCUUGCACUAUCGGAUGAACCCAUAUGGGAUUAGCUAGUAGGUGGGGUAAAGGCUCACCUAGGCGACGAUCUCUAGCUGGUCUGAGAGGAUGAUCAGCCACACUGGGACUGAGACACGGCCCAGACUCCUACGGGAGGCAGCAGUGGGGAAUAUUGCACAAUGGG
rnacentral:rRNA from 1 species